rnacentral:rRNA from 1 species
GUCCACACGGUAAACGAUGGAUACUAGCUGUAAUGGGAUUCGACCCCUAUUGUGGCGCAGCAAACGCAAUAAGUAUCCCGCCUGGGGAGUAUGGCCGCAAGGUUGAAACUCAAAGGAAUUGACGGGGACCCCGCACAAGCGGUGGAGGAUGUGGUUUAAUUCGACGCAACGCGAAGAACCUUACCAAGACUUGACAUCCUUGAGAUCCUGUAGAAAUACGGGAGUGCUCGAAAGAGAAUCAAGAGACAGGUGGUGCAUGGCUGUCGU